ACCACUCUCCUUUUGUUGGAUAUCUACUCUUUCAGUCAUUUUCAAUUUUGCUUCUAGGGUGUCACUCAGUUCUUGAAGUUAAAAAUAAUUUAGUCCUUCAUAUGAUCCUUCUGUAUUUAUUGACUUAAGCCUUAAAGCACGCUUUUUCUCUGCUUCAAUCAACUUCUCCAUUUUAGUUAAAUCCUCGUUUUGAUAAGGUUUGGCGAGAGGUUUUGGACUAUCAGUAUCAGGUAGGGGAUUCAGAAGCUUAUCUACCACCGAAAUGAUACAAGGGUGUCCGAUAAAGUACACACUUGUUUUAGAUUGGGAAAAACUAUAGUUGUAGCUUCAACACCGCAGAGGGUAGAGAGCUCGCUCGCCUUCUUAAAAAGGCCAUCACGCCUUUCAGAAAAUCUCACAGAUGAUUUAGCCUUCGAAAAUAUGAAGAAGAAGGACUAUCAUCCAUGAUAUAGUUUAUUUGCUCCAGCAGCUUGGAGCCAGUUAAACUAGAACAUGGCAUGUUGCCUUGGAGAGAAACGCGAGAAGAUUUUACUGCAGGUGAUGACCCUGAACGCCCAACAAAGAAACCCCGUAGGCAGCGUAAGGGUUGCUUUUACUUUGCCUCUGUAACUUUUGUUUGAGCUUAUUAAGAGGAGAGUUUUCAGCAAGUAGACAAUGGAAGAUAAGUUAUACUUGUCCUGGUCAAAAUAGAUAAUUGCUAAUAACAACAUUGUCGCGAGAAUUAGUGCUGCCUAGAUCAUAGAUAAUACUAAUAACAAAAUUGUAGGAAAAUAGAUAAUCUUUAAAUCCUCAUUUUGUUUCAAUUUCAUUUUCAUUUUUUUUUUCCUUGUGAAGUAAUAUUUAGGGAUUCCGUCGAUUUGCAUAGUGAACCCUAGGACUUUAUGAAUUUCACCCAGUUUUCUUUGGGAUAUAUGGAAACAGAAAAGAAAGCUUCCCAUACUGAUGUUCAUGAAGAAAGAGAACAAUCAUUUUGUUGCUGUAAAUCAAACAAUUCAUUGUGGUUUUUGAGGGGAGCUGAAGAGCUUCCAAGUACUGAAUUUGAUUUGAAAGAGGAGGACAAAAGAUACAUGAGUAUGUGCAGAGUGGUCGUAUCAUCAUGUAUUUUUGGAAGCUCUGAUUUUUUAAGAAGGCCGACAAGCAGAUUGAUCAGUGAGUAUUCAAAGAAGAACGUAUGUUUUAUUAUGUUUGUUGAUGAGGGAACUCUUUCGACGCUCUCAAAAGAAGUAAACACACCUGAUGAUGGUGGAUUUGUUGGAUUGUGGAAAUUAGUUGUCGUCAUAUUAUGUUUGUUGAUGAGGGAACUCUUUCGACGCUCUCAAAAGAAGUAAACACACCUGAUGAUGGUGGAUUUGUUGGAUUGUGGAAAUUAGUUGUCGUCAAGAACUUACCAUACACAGAUAUGCAUAAAACGGGGAAAGUACCAAAGUUUUUGAUGCAUCGCCUCUUUCCUUCUUCUAGGUGAUUUUUCAUAUCCCUAGCUGGACUUUUAUGCUUAGUCUAUCUGGCUCCAACAACAACAAGAAUAUACCCAACGUAUUCCUACAUAGUGGGGUCUGGGGAGGGUAGAGUGUACGCAAACCAUACCACUACCUCCGAAGAUUAAUUUGUUCUCCUCUUGCGGCAAUUUUUAGGUUCUCUAUUUGGCUAGAUAGCAACUGCGGCUCUCAACCAAUCCAAUGUUAAUAAUUGAUCAUUUCUUGUGGCAAACUGGCUCUGAGUAUGCCAUCUCAAAUCAUUAUACUCGGCACUGUGUUUGGGAAGAAGUACUCCAAAAUAAGCGUCUAAAUAAGUACAACCACACUGCUAUUGAUGAACAGUUUUUGUCGUACCAAUCUGAUGGUCUUACCAAAUUUGACCCUUAAGAUCCGAAUCCAUCUCUGCCAAGCUAUGUGCAUGAAGGCUCUUUUAUUCUCUUGCCUCACUUCACGUGACCAACUAAGCUUUGUAUUUACAUUCCUAAAGCUGAAGAGAAUGAAUCCAUCCAAUCCGUUCCAUUUAAAUAUGUUUAAGGACUGCGAGUGUAGGUCACUGGUCAAGUUGUUCCAUCACAGAGAGCCAUCUGCUCCACCUCCUCCAAGAAUAGUUUGAUGCUCCUCAUUCCUUACAAGGACUUGGUAAACUCGGACUCUUGCUUCAACCCAUUUGAACGAACUUUCAGGUAGAAGAUGAACUGAUACAUUCUUUGGCAACUAGAGAUUAUACAUUUUUGGGCGCGGAAUUAAUUUUAAGUCUACUAAGUGGAUGAUAGAAAUUUCGUGGAAUAUCUUUGGUUUGUCAUAACUCAUCUGCCGUUGCGUGAUUGAGGAUGACUUAGGAAGCUCGUGAGAUGUCACUGCAGCUUGAAUUAUCAUAACUGUUGGAUGUUAUCCGAGACUUCUUCUGAGUUCAGAGCUGAACGAGUUUCCUAAAGAAGUUUGUAAACAAAUGUAUUCAACUAUAGAAGAUCCUCCACAUACAGUAAAGACAUAAUACAUUAAUAUAUGACUCUAAACCUGACAC